rnacentral:rRNA from 1 species
AGUGAACGCUGGCGGUAGGCCUAACACAUGCAAGUCGAACGGCAGCACAGUAAGAGCUUGCUCUUACGGGUGGCGAGUGGCGGACGGGUGAGGAAUACAUCGGAAUCUACUUUUUCGUGGGGGAUAACGUAGGGAAACUUACGCUAAUACCGCAUACGACCUACGGGUGGAAGCAGGGGAUCUUCGGACCUUGCGCGAUUGAAUGAGCCGAUGUCGGAUUAGCUAGUUGGCGGGGUAAAGGCCCACCAAGGCGACGAUCCGUAGCUGGUCUGAGAGGAUGAUCAGCCACACUGGAGCUGAGACACGGUCCAGACUCCUACGGGAGGCAGCAGUGGGGAAUAUUGGACAAAGGGCGCAAGCCUGAUCCAGCCAUACCGCGUGGGUGAAGAAGGCCUUCGGGUUGUAAAGCCCUUUUGUUGGGAAAGAAAAGCAGCAGGUUAAUACCCCGCUGUUCUGACGGUACCCAAAGAAUAAGCACCGGCUAACUUCGUG